rfam:Variovorax paradoxus strain TBEA6 VPARA_contig000053, whole genome shotgun sequence.
CCACGGAGUAGAAGCGUUCACCGUUUCGCCGUGAAGACGCCCGAUGACGGUGCGGCUUCUCCGCGCUUCGGCCGGAAAUUGCUCUGGAG